CCUACGGGUGGCAGCAGUGGGGGAUAUUGCACAAUGGGGGGAACCCUGAUGCAGCGACGCCGCGUGGGUGAAGAAGCGCCUCGGCGCGUAAAGCCCUGUCAGCAGGGACGAAAAUGACGGUACCUGAUGAAGAAGCCCCGGCUAACUACGUCCCAGCAGCCGCGGUAAUACAUAGGGGGCAAGCGUUAUCCGGCUUUACUGGGUGGAAAGGGGGCGGAGACGGCGAUGCAAGCCAGGAGUGAAAGCCCGGGGCCCAACCCCGGGACUGCUCUUGGAACUGCGUGGCUGGAGUGCAGGAGGGGCAGGCGGAAUUCCUGGUGUAGCGGUGAAAUGCGUAGAUAUCAGGAGGAACACCGGUGGCGAAGGCGGCCUGCUGGACUGCAACUGACGUUGAGGCCCGAAAGCGUGGGGAGCAAACAGGAUUAGAUACCCGGGUAGUC
rnacentral:rRNA from 1 species